rnacentral:rRNA from 1 species
UAGGGAAUCUUCNNGCAAUGGGGGCAACCCUGACCGAGCAACGCCGCGUGAGUGAAGAAGGUUUUCGGAUCGUAAAGCUCUGUUGUAAGUCAAGAACGAGUGUGAGAGUGGAAAGUCCACACUGUGACGGUAGCUUACCAGAAAGGGACGGCUAACUACGUGCCAGCAGCCGCGGUAAUACGUAGGUCCCGAGCGUUGUCCGGAUUUAUUGGGCGUAAAGCGAGCGCAGGCGGUUUGAUAAGUCUGAAGUUAAAGGCUGUGGCUCAACCAUAGUUCGCUUUGGAAACUGUCAAACUUGAGUGCAGAAGGGGAGAGUGGAAUUCCAUGUGUAGCGGUGAAAUGCGUAGAUAUAUGGAGGAACACCGGUGGCGAAAGCGGCUCUCUGGUCUGUAACUGACGCUGAGGCUCGAAAGCGUGGGGAGCGAACAGGAUUAGAUACCCUGGUAGUCCACGCCGUAAACGAUGAGUGCUAGGUGUUGGAUCCUUUCCGGGAUUCAGUGCCGCAGCUAACGCAUUAAGCACUCCGCCUGGGGAGUACGACCGCAAGGUUG